GCCGCGCAUGCCCGAUUUUAGAAAGAGCCGAACACGAUCGAGGAGGGGAGGCACGCCUGCCAUCGAUCCAUCCAUCCCAGCCUGGCCGCCGGGCGAGCGACGCCGCUGGCUAGCUCGAUUCGAUCUGGCGCGGCGCGGCGACAGCUAGCAGCUAGCUCGUUACCUAGCGCGGCCGCGUCCGCAGCGCCGGGCGCCAUCGACCCGUCGCUCGAUCGUGCCCUUGUUAUGCGCUAGAUCGAUGCAACCAACCACCUCAGCCUGACAACCACCCCUCUCGCGCGCGGCGGGAUCGGAGUAGGAAAAUCCUAGCCAGCCAGCCAGCCAGCCAGCCAGCCGCGGAAUGUUCCGGCGCUGCACGUUCUCCGCUCGUCGCUGCCAUACCGCGGGCCCAACACGUGCGUGCCCGGCUACCUCCCCCAACCCCUCGGCCUAUAUAUCCGGCUUCCCAACACCCGUCUCUCCCCACCUCUCCCAUCUCCCCCAUCGAUCUCGCAAAAGAACGCCAGCGUCCGUGCCGCGUGCGGUGGCCGCGGCGGCGGUGUGCGUUGAAGGGGCGCGGCGCGGCUGCUUAGCUCGGCAAGGACCGGUACGGGCGCUGGGCGGUGACAGAAGAGAGUGAGCACACGGCCGGUCGUUACGGCACCGCCCGGGUGUGCCGUCGCGGCCGCGUGCUCACUGCUCUUCCUGUCAUCCACUCUCCCGCUUCCCUUCCGGCCUUCGCCGUGGCUGGCUGCACGCGCUAGCACACCGCCGCCGCGUCCACAGCAGAGGCCGGCUGGCCGGCCGGCCGGCCGUCGUUUUUGCGUCAUCGUAUGCCGUACAGACUAACCCGCAAUUUUGUGUUCAUGCCGCUCUCUGCAAGUUUCCAUUUCUGGGAGGCUAGAGCGUACGGCGCCGCGCGCGUGGGUACGCUUUCGCGCACGGAUUCCCUCCCUUUUCUCUCGGUACGAUACGAAGAUGCUCCCUUUUGCUUUGAUAAAUUCUCUCAUCUUUUCCAAGGGAUUUUACCGUUAACCGCUGCUCCUCGCUCCGGCCUUGGGAAGGGAAAAAGGCAUUUACUGCGGCGCCGCUGAUUGAUUCAGCUAUAGCUGGUUCCAAGAAUCUGGAUCUUGGAGCAACCAAGAUCAACCUACUGAGUAGGCCGGAGAUGGACGAUCUAGAGGCAAAUGUGCGCAUGGAUCGAUAGCUCAGAUCUGCUUACCACUUGACUCUUUUCUUGCCAGGUAAUUGCAGAUUUCUUGCGCAGCGCUGCGCUGCAUGCUGUCCCUAUGUUCUUCAAUUUCUUACACGUUGCGUCACUGUCGAAAGUAAUUGCGUGGUGUAACAUAUAUUUGUCUCCGAUAGCCAGCUGCUUGCUGCUGGAGUAAAGGGUAGGGACUGCUACCUAGGUCAUUGUCGGGCACGUCACUGUUCCAUUGGUGACGUCUCGUACUUAUCUCCAGGAAGAAAAGCGGCCGCGCCUAGUUAUCUCUAGGAUUGAUUCUUCCUCUGAACACAUGUGUGGAGUUAGAUCCAGCGAUCAGUUGAUUUAGGCUCAGUUUACGGUUUGUUGCGCUAUACUUCGUCGUGUUUAGUUCAUAAUUUGUUUAGGAAAUUAGCCAUGAAGUAGUCAAAUGCGGAUAAACAAACAUAAUAUAAGAUUGCAAGAAUUCGCAGCAAUAGUAAACGGAGCCUUGGGAUAGAUCUAGAUGUGCAACUCCUGUUGUUUCGUGUCUCUCUCUUGCUCAAGGAUUUAGUUUUGCUUGCUGCCUCAUUAUAGACACGUACGAUUAAUUCAAAAAGGUGACCACACAAAAAAUAGAGAUCAAUGGUAACGACAUUAGAUUACUCUUGAAAGGUGCUGCUCUCUCUUACAAUAUAGAUCGAAGUGAACCAUAAAAUGUUCGUCUUUUUUCAACAUAAAAUGCAUUACUCUCUAUAAAGCGUGUUGUAAAAAUAAUAAUAAUUGUGCAUCAAUUUUUUUUUUUGAGAAAUGAGAAAAACAGUACAGAUAUAGACACCCACAACAUGUACGCAUCCUCUACCCUUAUGCAUGAAUGCCCAGUCCUGAUGAGCAUCUCCAAGAGACUGAACUGAGAUAAUUUAAGAUUAACAAUUUAAUCACAAGCACCUCGCAGUCGACGGGUUGGUCAUACCAAUAAGAAACAAUAUAGUUUGCCACCUCAAAAAAGAAACUACCUUUUUUCAAACAAUCAGAAACUACCUUUUUCAGUUUGUUGAAUGCAAGUUUUCUGUUAAAAUGCAUCAUUUAACUCCUCUAUUUCUUAGUUUCUCGUUAAUUUAUUAAGAACCAUUCUGUGCUAGCAUACUUGUGUAUAUGUUCCCAAUAUGCUAUAGUUCUCACCUAAUAUGGAAGUUUGAUUGCCGUUUCUAUUCACUUUGUUUUAUAUCUGUAGAAUAAUCCCUCCAAGUCGACAUGUAAUUAAGUCCUUGUGCACAAGAUUUUUUUUUUGAAAGCCUUGCGCCCAAGAGUUAGCUAUGUCGGUAACAUCCCAAUAUGACACCUUUGAAUUAUUCGCACAACUUUUUUUAUCCUCACAAAUACAACAAAUAUUCUUACGCAUUGUCUUACGUCACAUUAUUCAUAAACUAUGGAGCCACCUCAUGGUGGACGGUUGAGUUGUGCCCACUGCUCACAUUUACACACACGCCCACUCGCAGGUUUAACCCUGGUCUGCGUUAUUCUAGUGUGACUAGGAGACAAGGUAAGGGGUGUGUGUUUAUUGUGCCGGCCAGCCCGGCCUGUGUAGUGGCGUUCUGUUUAUACGUCUUUUUUUCUCUAAAGAAUAUCUGAUAUACUAGCACUCAUGCACACAGGACAACAUGCAAAUUAAGAGCUUCUUUGAUUUGUAAGAUUCUAAAAGCAUGGGAAUAGAAAAAACAUAUGAUUGAAUUGAAAUGGUCAUCUCAAUUCUACAAUAUUUUAGGCUUUUUGAUUGCAUUAUAUGAACAGACAAAUGAUUCGUUCAAAAAGGUUUGAGCGGAUGCUAGAAAUCCUUUGGGAAGUAAACAUAAAUCCAUCCAAAAAGUUCUAUAGAAUUCAAUCUUAUGAAUCAAACAACCAACAUAGAAAAAUAUUCCAAAAGAACUCUAGUCCUUCAAAAUUUCUAUGAAAAUUCUUUGAAUCAACCGAGCCUAAUUGGUAAUCCCUGUAUAGGGACCACCAGUACGUAUAGUAGAGCUUGGGUAGUGGAGGAGUUAUGGACCUCUUAGAGUGAAUAAUCUCAUAGGUUAGUAUCAUAUAUACGACAUUAAUGUAUGUUAUAGUAGUUUAUGAUACUUACUCUUAAUUAUAUAUUACCUUCGUCCAGAAAAAGCUUGUCUUACAUUUAUUAAGAUAUGGAAGUAUCAAAUAAUAAAAUGUCGAAAACACUAACGCCCACACGUGUGGGCGUCUGACAACUCGCCCACAUGCAUGGAUCCUCAUCCAACUAAUUCUACAUGAAUCUUGGUGCGUUCUAGCAGUUUUUGUGUGCCAUGUAGGGCGAAGCUAGUGUGUGGGCAUUCAUCCGAUCGCUCACACGUCCUUUUUCACCACACGGGGGGUUGGUGUGUGGGCGUUUAGCAAUUCGCUCACACACCAGUUUUCACGCACGCAGAGGGGCUGGUGUGUGGACGUUUAGCAAUUCGUCCACACGCCUGUCUCCUCGCCUACACCCAAAGCUGGCAGUUGCCAUGUGUUUCUGUAGGGUACAUGGCAACUGCCCUACCUUUGCUUGUAAGCAGAUGGCAAUUCUCUUACCUAAGUUGCCAUGUGUUUUUGCAUGGUACAUGGCAACUGCUCUAGCGUGCACGUAAGCAGAUGGCAACUUUUUCUCUUUACAAGGCAACUGCCCUAGCGUGCUUGUGAGCACAUGGCAACUCUCUCUUUUACCCGAACAUGUUUUUUGCCAUGCCUUUUUGUAGUGCUACAUGGCAACUGCCUAGUGUUAGUGGGUGGACACUUCUAAAGUUUUGAAAUCAUGGCAACUGCAGUAGAUCAGACCAUAUAUAACAACUGUAGUUGUCCGACAUGGCAACCGAAGUUCAGCGACAUGGCAACUGCAGUUAAACGAACAUUGACGAGGGUCUGGACCAUGGCAACUGCGGGGUGCGCGGUGACUGUCACGCGGGGCGUGCAGGACCACGAGGUAUGAGGCCUGACGUAUGGGGCGUGUGGGCGUUAUCUAUUUCGUCCACACGCACGCGUGUGAGAGGGACUGAGAGGGAAAAAAGGUGUGUGUGCAUUACUUGUUUUGCCCACACGUAGGUGUGUGCGUUGUUUCUCUUAUACACCACACAAAAUAUGUAGGCAGACACUCUAACGCUCACAUGUGUGGCAUUUAUCAGCGUCCUAAAAUGUUUUUAGACACAUCCGUAUCUAGACAAAUCUAAAAAAAAACUAUUUUGGGACAGAGGGAGUAGUAUUAUAUUGGUUGUAUUUUAGGGCAUGCAUGGCUAAUAAUAAACCGGCCACUGGCUUUAUCUCAUUGCAUUGCAUAUCAUUUGUAGUCAAUCUAAUUUCACUGAUAUCUAUAUCUAUAACACUAUAUAGUGUAUGAAUAACUUUGAAUGUCAGCUGGAUGAAACUAGUUCAACUGUAGAGAUGUGUCAAAUUAGAGCGUUGUUGGUCAUUCGAUAACCUCUUCACUCUACCUGACUGCCACAUGUACUAUCUACAAGAUUCCGUGGUUGAUGAACAAACUUAUAGAAAAAACAAGCACUUCUUUGUUUUGGAAUGUUCUAUAUUUUAAUUCUUCAAUUUUUCCUUCUAAACAAAUUACAAUGUACAAACUUCAAAUCAUAAACACUUCUCUUUGUUCUAGACCCUUCUAUGCAUUUUCUUUUUAAAAAAUUGCCAUUAAAUUUUAGUUUAUGAUUUUUUUAUGUCAUGCCUAUAACAGCGGUAUAUAUAUAUAUUUCCUACAAGCAGUGGUAGUUACUACCACUUGCGUUUUGUAUGUUGUAUGUAGUAUCUGACGAAACCGAGAGUAUGUACGUGUAGUAUGUAGUAUAUAACAAUGAUUAGGUAGUAUAUAUACUAAUUUUUAGGUAGUAUAUAUCUUGUUUUAAGUAUACUCUUUUUUACGUACAAAUAUGUACGUAUUUCGCAAAUAUAACAAAAAUUAUGGGCUCAUAUGCAAUUUUUUCAUAUAACUUACUUUGAAAUAUCUUAGAUAAGUACAUGAACAUAUUUAAAAUAAUAAAAUAAUAUAUAUAUAGUAUCACAUGGUAGUAUAUGAGACAUGUGAGGUAACUACUCCAGGUGGUAGGAUGGAUUUUCUAUAUAUAUAUAUAUAUAUAUAUAUAUAUGAAAUACUGGCUAAGCCAGGGGCAACCCCGUGCAUUCACAGUGCUAUGAUUCAAAGCUUAUAUGAUUGCCACGUGCCCCUGGUUUGCAUCUGCUUUAGGCAAGUUUUAGAGGGUCGCCUGCUGGUUUUUGAUGGGUUAGUUCACCGCCUAUAUUUCACUCUGCAGUAGAAAUAUAGAGUCCGCUACCACCGCCAUUGAUUCCACCGCUAGCGAGGCCCUUUUUUUCCUUUUUGCUCACUGUAAAAAAUAACGCCACGCUAUAGCACGUCUUAUUAAAUAAAUUAGUGUACAAUUUCUCACUAAUAGCACAGUUCAUUCUUGAUUUUUAAUGAUUUUUUGGAUUGCGCCGGUCUGUUCGGUCCACCAAUCACUGUAAUUUUAGGCUAUGUACGGAGAACCAACCUUCUUAGGCUGACACAUGUAUUAUUUUUUACCUGGUUCAUUUCCGGCUUUUAUUGAUUUUUUUGUACUGCAUUGAUCUGCUCAGUUCACCGAUCAGUUGAAAGGAUCGAUAUAAUUGACUAGAGGAGGGUAAAUAGGCAACUAUCAAUUUUUAGCUAUUUUAAAUAAAUUAGGCUUGAAAAUAAAAAUAGGUUAUACAUGUAAAAAGUGUACACAUCAAAGACAAGAGAUAACUCUAGACUUGUGCAAAAUUUUGCCUGAACAAAUAAU